UACGUAGGUGGCAAGCGUUAUCAGGAUUUACUGGGCGUAAAGCGCACGCAGGUGGUCAUUUAAGUCUGACGUGAAAGCUCUUGGCUUAACUGGGAGAGGUCGUUGGAAACUAGAUGGCUUGAGGCAAUGAGAGGGGUGUAGAAUUCCUGGUUUAGUGGUGGAAUGCGUAGAUAUCAGGAGGAAUACCAGUGGCGAAAGCGGCACCCUGGCAUUGGCCUGACGCUCAUGUGCGAAAGCGUGGGGAGCGAACGGG
rnacentral:rRNA from 1 species